UCUGUGUUCCUCUUUUUCCAUUCCUAAUUCUCUUUCUCCUUCUCUCUCGAAUUGUGUGUGGAUGAUAAUGAAACGAAGAAUAGGGAGAGGUAAGCAGAGAAAGAGAAUGCAUGAAUUGUAACGCUGACUGUUUGUUAAAAAAUAAAAGAGAGAGAGUAUAUG
rnacentral:ribozyme from 14 species